rnacentral:rRNA from 1 species
AUUGAACGCUGGCGGCAUGCCUAACACAUGCAAGUCGAGCGGAUGAAUCGAGCUUGCUCCUGGAUUCAGCCGCAGACGGGUGAGUAAUGCCUAGGAAUCUGCCUGAACGUGGGGAAUAACGUCCGGAAACGGGCGCUAAUACCGCAUACGUCCUGUGAGAGAAAUUGGGGGAUCUUCGGAUCUGACGCUAUCAUAUGAGCCUACGUCGGAUUAGCUAGUUGGUAGGGUAAAGGCCUACCAAGGCGACGAUCCGUAACUGGUCUGAGAGGAUGAGCAGUCACACUGAGACUGAGACACGGCCCAGACUCCUACGGGAGGCAGCAGUGGGUAAUAUUGGACAAUGGGCGAAAGCCUGAUCCAGCAAUGCCGCGUGAGUGAUGAAGGCCUUAGGGUUGUAAAGCUCUUUUACCCGGGAUGAUAAUGACAUUACCGGGAGAAUAAGCUCCGGCUAACUCCGUG